rnacentral:misc_RNA from 1 species
UACGGAGGGUGCAAGCGUUGUCCGGAUUUAUUGGGUUUAAAGGGUGCGUAGGCGGCUGUUUAAGUCAGUGGUGAAAGACUCCGGCUCAACCGGAGCAGUGCCAUUGAUACUGGAUAGCUUGAGUGUUGGAGGGGUACAUGGAAUUGAUGGUGUAGCGGUGAAAUGCAUAGAUACCAUCAGGAACACCGAUAGCGAAGGCAUUGUACUGGCCAACAACUGACGCUGAGGCACGAAAGCAUGGGGAGCGAACAGG